CCUCCACCCGUCUUCCCAGCUCUGUUUUCCCUGUCUCUAGAGAUGGCUCUCCACUGGUGGCCUCAAGAGCAAUGUGUCUUCUAUGUACCCCCUAUCCCUUGGACCUCCCUCUAACCCCAACAGAAACCACUGCCCUGACUGCUGCUGGUCAGGGUCAAGGAGAUGAAGGAGACAUCCAGUGUCCGCUCCCGGUUUCCUACAGAUUCGGACCUCCUAACAGGACUUCCAGGUCCAGAGCCGGCUAGUCAAGGGCGCCCUCCAGUGGUCACCAUCGGAGAGGCAGGAACCUGAUCGCGCAAAAAGAGACGUCUCCUCUAUUCCUACAACUAACACGGAGUCAGCAUCCCGGUGCCAGGCGUGGGGCCAGGCACAUGUUUCAUUUUUAGUUAAAAAACAUAUUGAUCAUCUGCUAA